rnacentral:sRNA from 1 species
UUUUUUUAUGUUUUUAUUUAAGUGUUUCAGGUUUAUUUCAUUGAUCAUGAAGGAGUCAACGGUCGAGUAAAUUCAAACCAAGUCAAGAACCAUCUCAACCGUUGAUCGAGUAGAAUGAGUAGGAGUAUUUUUAGCCAUUGAUUUGGAUGACCAAAAGAGAAGAGCAUCACCACCGUUUGAUCGAGUGACUUCUUGAAGGUUAUUUUGGUCCGUUUGAUCGAGUAAACAAGAAUGAGAAGCUCUCCAUCAUUGGAUCAAAUUUUGCACAACUCAAGAAGAUGCUCGAUUCUUUACUCGAACUUGAAUUAUUUGGAGACCAAGAAGUGAUGUCGCAUGUCCCACUUGUUCCCCUUCACUUCAUUAUUCAACGAACAAAUCAUUUACUCAUGCCCCUCACCAUUUCCAAUCAACUUUUCUAUCUCUUCCAAAGCAAACCAAAGACCAAUCUCCUCCACCCAUUGAUUUCGACAAACCCUCCUUGAAACUCUCUCUUUCAUCAUCUCGUUUUCGCAACCCCCUCACAAAGCUUUGAAGUCUUCAUUCCAAACCCUUCCCCAAAACGCUCCCUAUCACUCCUUAAGAAUCUGUUCCCCUUCACCAUUACUUCAACAAAGUUACUCGAUCACCUCCAAAGUCUAUCCUCAAGCAUUCAAUCGGUUUCAAGCUCAAAAUUUCAUCACCAAAGAAACCGAUUCCUUUCUCCUUUGAUACCUCUUAGAGAAGUGUUCUUGUUUGCCCUGUCAAAGCUUACCACCAAUCUCCAUGGAUCAAGAACGAAGAGUUCAUCUCGGGCAAAAAGAUCCUCUGUUGAUAAUGAGGAAGUUGAGGCAUUUGACAUGAGUGGAAUGACUGAACGCCAAAUUCACCAAGCUCGCCGUGCUCAAAGAUUAAGCUUGAUUCAAGGUUGAAGCUCAAGCUGCCCAGCCAUGCAAAGAGAAGAAGUAGCUCAGGGAAAGAGGGUCAUUGAAGCUGAAGAAGAACACCAUGAAGAGGCACCCUUUGAAGAAGCGGUUUCUGAGAUAAGAUUUAAAGGGCUUCAAAAGAUUUACAAAAGUUUUAAAAAGAUUUUUAAAGGUUUAAAAUUGUUUGAAAAGGAUUUUAAAAUAUUUACAAGGAAUUUUAAAAGGGUUUUAAAAUAUUUACAAGGGAUUUUAAAAGGGUUUUAAAAUAUUUACAAGGGAUGUUAAAGGGCUUUAAAAGAUUUACAAAGGUUUUUUAAAGAUUUUUAAAGGGUUUAAAAGUGUUUUGAAAGAUUUACAAGGGAUUUUAAAAGAUUUACAAGAGAUUUUUAAAGGGUUUAAAUGGAGUUUAAAGGAUGUACAAGGGUUUUUAAAAGAUUUUUGAAAAAUUUACAGGAAGACCCUUUAAAAACUCUUGUAAAUCUUUUUUAAACCUUUUAAAAUCCCUUGUAAAUCUUUUAAAAUCCUUUUAAAAUCCCUUGUAAAUAUUUUAAAACCCUUUUAAAAUCCCUUGUAAAUCUUUUAAAACCCUUUUAAAAUCCCUUGUAAAUCUAUUUCCCGCCAAAAAAUAUUUACAAGGAUUUUUAAAAGCCCUUUAACAGUUUUAAAAGUUUGGCGGAAAUUUUUAAAGGAUUUUUAAAGGAUUUUUGGGCAGGCAGAAAGUUUGGCGGAAAUUUUUUUUUUGGCGGGAAAAAAAAGUUUUGCGGGAAAAUUUCAGUUUCCAAUUACAUGUUUCUAUUAGAUGAUGGUAAUUUGGUCAUUUUGUUCAAGGGAAAAUGUAUUUUUUAAAAUGGACAACAUAAAACGGUAUUGUUGUAAAAUGGUAGUAAAAAAAGGGUAGUUUUGCAAAUUUCCCAAUUGUAUAUCCUAUUUUUUUGGUGUCGACAAAAAAAGAAAACAAAAGGCUGAUUUUAGUUUAAAAUAU